rnacentral:rRNA from 1 species
GUCUACGGCCACACCACCCUGAACAUGCCUGAUCUCGUCUGAUCUCGGAAGCUAAGCAGGGUCGGGCCUGGUUAGUACUUGGAUGGGAGAAUGUCUCUCAUAAGUCUCCUUAUGAGAAACAAAACCAGCACAAAAU